rnacentral:rRNA from 1 species
CAGCCACCAUUUAAAGAGUGCGUAAUAGCUCACUGGUCGAGAGACGCUGCGCCGAAAAUGUCCGGGGCUCAAGCACGGAACCGAAGCUAUGGCAUGACAGCGAUGUCAUGGGUAGGGGAGCGUUCUUAUAAGGAAGAAGCAUUACCGUAAGGAGAUGUGGACAUAUAAGAAGUGAGAAUGCCGGUAUGAGUAUCGAAAAGAAAGGUGAGAAUCCUUUCCACCGAAAGCCCGAGGGUUCCUGAGCAACGAUCGUCGACUCAGGGUAAGUCGGGACCUAAGCCGAGGCGGAGACGCAUAGGCGAUGGACAACAGGUUGAAAUUCCUGUACCGGAUGGAGUCAAUUGAGCGAAGGAGCGACGCAGGAGGGCACAUGAUCGCGCGGCUGGAAGAGCGCGUCCAAGUGCGUAUGCGUAGAGGGAGGCAAAUCCCCCUUUACAGAAGCAGAGACAUGAUGGGGAGUUAAAGGAGACUUUGACGAACUCAUGGAUCCCACACUGCCAAGAAAAACUUCUAGCGAGACGAAAUCCGCCCGUACCGUAAACCGACACAGGUAGGCGGGGAGAGAAUCCUAAGGUGCGCGGGAAAACCCUCGUUAAGGAACUCGGCAAAUUGCAUCCGUAACUUCGGGAGAAGGAUGACCCUGAGUAGGCGAAAGGGAGAAACCCCCGGAACAGAAAAGGGUGGCAGAAAAGAGGCCCAAGCAACUGUUUACCAAAAACACAGGUGCCUGCGAAAGCGAAAGCUGAAGUAUAGGUGCUGACGCCUGCCCGGUGCUGGAAGGUUAAGGAGAGAGGUCAGCGAAAGCGAAGCUUUGAACUGAAGCCCCAGUGAACGGCGGCCGUAACUAUAACGGUCCUAAGGUAGCGAAAUUCCUUGUCGGGUAAGUUCCGACCCGCAUGAAAGGCGUAAUGAUUUGGGCACUGUCUCAACGAGGGGCCCGGUGAAAUUGAAAUACCUGUGAAGAUGCAGGUUACCCGCGACUGGACAGAAAGACCCCAUGGAGCUUCACUGCAGCUUGAGAUUGAAUCCCGGUGACAUAUGCACAGGAUAGGUGGGAGGCUAAGAAGUAAUGCCUUUGGGUGUUACAGAGCCGAUGUUGGGAUACCACCCUUAUGUUGCUGAGAUUCUAACACGGAGACUAACAACCUCGUGGACCAUCUCAGGCAGGCGGUUUGACUGGGGCGGUCGCCUCCUAAAAUGUAACGGAGGCGCCCAAAGGUUCCCUCAG